AUUCCCUAGUACGGCGAGUGAAGCGGGAAGAGCUCAAAUUUGAAAUCUGGUAGCCUUCGGUUGCCCGAGUUGUAAUCUAGAGAAAUGUUUUCCGUGCCGGCCCAUGUACAAGUCCCUUGGAACAGGGCGUCAUAGAGGGUGAGAAUCCCGUCCUUGACAUGGACCCCCGGUGCUUUGUGAUACAUUUUCAACGAGUCGAGUUGUUUGGGAAUGCAGCUCAAAAUGGGUGGUGAAUUCCAUCUAAAGCUAAAUAUUGGCGAGAGACCGAUAGCGAACAAGUACCGUGAGGGAAAGAUGAAAAGCACUUUGGAAAGAGAGUUAAACAGUACGUGAAAUUGUUGAAAGGGAAACGAUUGAAGUCAGUCAUGCUCUUUGGUAUUUAUAUCAUUGAGUGGGGUCAACAUCAGUUUUGAUCGAUGGAUAAAGGCACUAGGAAUGUAGCACUCUCGGGUGAACUUAUAGCCUAGCGUCAUAUACAUUGAUUGGGACUGAGGAACGCAGCAUGCCUUUAUGGCCGGGAUUCGUCCACGUACAUGCUUAGGAUGUUGACAUAAUGGCUUUAAACGACCCGUCUUGAAACACGGACCA
rnacentral:rRNA from 1 species